rnacentral:rRNA from 1 species
AGCGAACGCUGGCGGUAGGCCUAACACAUGCAAGUCGAACGGCAGCACAGUAAGAGCUUGCUCUUACGGGUGGCGAGUGGCGGACGGGAGAGGAAAAUAACGGACUCUACUUUUUCGUGGGGGAUAACGUAGGGAAAGUUACGCUAAUACCGCAUACGACCUACGGGGGAAAGCAGGGGAUCUUCGGACCUUGCGCGAAUGAAUGAGCCGAUGUCGGAUUAGAUAGUUGGCGGGUUAAAGGCCUACGAAGGCGACGAUCGGCAGCUGGUCGGAGAGGAUGAUCAGCGGCACUAGAGCGGAGACACGGUCCUGACUCCUGAGAGACGGAGCAGUGGGGAAUAGUGGACAGUAGGCGGAAACCUGGUCCAGCCAGCCCGCGUGGGUGGAGGAGGCCUUCGGGUUGUGAAGCCCUUUUGUGGGGAGAGAAACGCAGCCGCCUAAUACCCCGCUGUUCUGACGGUACCCAGUGAAUAAGCACCGGCUAACUUCGUG